ACCAGACUCCUACGGGAGGCAGCAGUGGGGGAUAUUGCACAAUGGGGGAAACCCUGAUGCAGCGACGCCGCGUGGGUGAAGAAGUAUUUCGGUAUGUAAAGCCCUAUCAGCAGGGAAGAAAGAAGACGGUACCUGACUAAGAAGCCCCGGCUAACUACGUGCCAGCAGCCGCGGUAAUACGUAGGGGGCAAGCGUUAUCCGGAUUUACUGGGUGUAAAGGGGGCGCAGACGGCGAUGCAAGCCAGGAGUGAAAGCCCGGGGCCCAACCCCGGGACUGCUCUUGGAACUGCGUGGCUGGAGUGCAGGAGGGGCAGGCGGAAUUCCUGGUGUAGCGGUGAAAUGCGUAGAUAUCAGGAGGAACACCGGUGGCGAAGGCGGCCUGCUGGACUGCAACUGACGUUGAGGCCCGAAAGCGUGGGGAGCAAACAGGAUUAGAUACCCCCGUA
rnacentral:rRNA from 1 species